rnacentral:rRNA from 1 species
AUUGAACGCUGGCGGCAGGCCUAACACAUGCAAGUCGAGCGGAGCGGCGGACGGGUGAGUAAUGCCUAGGAAUCUGCCUGGUAGUGGGGGAUAACGUCCGGAAACGGGCGCUAAUACCGCAUACUAUCAGAUGAGCCUAGGUCGGAUUGGCUAGUUGGUGGGGUAAAGGCCUACCAAGGCGACGAUCCGUAACUGGUCUGAGAGGAUGAUCAGUCAAAGUGGAAUGGGAACACGGUCUGAACUCCUACGGGGGGCAGCGUUGGGGAGUUUUGGAAAUUGGGCGAAGGCCUCAUCCAGCCAUGCCGCGUGUGUGAAGAAGGUCUUCGGUUUUUAAAGCACUUUAAGUUGGAAGACGUUCCCAACAGAAUAAGCACCGCCUAACUUCGUGCCAGCCGCCGCGGUAAUU